CUUUUCAUUAAAAUAACCAAUAUUAUAUUAUAUAGUUACUGGCAUGGCAAUAAAAUCAAACAAUCAAUUUAACAUUUAAAAGCUUUAACUUAACUUUAACUUGUUUUUUUUUUUGUUGUUGUUGUUGUUUGUUUUUUUUGUUUUUUGUUUUUUUUUUCAAAUUUUAUCAGAUUUCACAAGACUUCAGGAAGCUACAUCCAGAGGCAGACUUUUUGAAGACUGGGCUACAAUUGCAGACCAAGUUGUUGCUUAUGCCCAGCAAGAUGGAAAGGUGCAUUAAGAGCUGGGUGACAUGACUUCAGAUGCUAUAGGGGAGAGUGCUUUCAAAGUCCUGCCCAUUCUGGAGGAAGGGUCCACAGAACCACAACCACAGAAUUCUGGAAGCUAUUCAUUGACAUACAACCUGUGGGGACCAGCAUGGUGGAUUUGUGUCUUGGGGACGAGACAACGACAUCUCAGACCUUCACCAUUUUUUUCGGGCCAUGCCACUGAAGCGGACUCGUUGCCAGGGAAUGUCUCCGGCUUGCAGUAUAUUAUAUUGAUGGACAAGUCUUCAUGUGUGAAUUUUUUAAGGCAAACAGUUUUUUCUGGCCACUUGUAACAUGUUUUAAAUUGUCAUAUGUAUUGUCUGGUGGACACUUUGUUUGGCUUAGUUUUAAUAGCACAAUGUUUGGAACGAAUUUCAUGUGGCAAUAAUUAAUUUUUGAGUGUUCUGCUGCUACAAUGUUGACAAAGAAUGGGAAUCUACAGUGCCUAGUUUACACAGUUUUGUGUUUUAAAUUAACUGAUCUACUGAAGUUGUUGUUUUAUGUGUCUGUAAUGGUUGGAUAAAAUGUG